rnacentral:rRNA from 1 species
UACGGAGGGUGCGAGCGUUGUCCGGAAUCACUGGGCGUAAAGGGCGCGUAGGUGGCCCGUUAAGUGGCUGGUGAAAUCCCGCGGCUCAACUGCGGGGCUGCCGGUCAUACUGGCGAGCUAGAGCACGGUAGGGGCAGAUGGAAUUCCCGGUGUAGCGGUGAAAUGCGCAGAUAUCAGGAGGAACACCGGUGGCGAAGGCGGGUCUCUGGGCAACAACUGACGCUGAGGAGCGAAAGCGUGGGGAGCGAACAGG